CUUUUCUCGCAGGAAAUUACAAUGGACCGGAUAAUUGCAGCGGAAAAUAUAUCUGGGGAUCCCAAAGCAAAGAUGCCUCAACUAUCUUCUCCGCCAGCUCAUCCGGGAGAAUAUUGACGUGUUUUCCGGCCAGAUAAAAGACAGAGUCUCUCCAGCGUAAACCACCACCCUUAAGAAGGGAAAGGCUUUGGAAAAUUGAGGAAUUCUAGGAGCUGAGCCAAGCUGUCUGGGGGUAACAAGUAGGGUCUCCCAUGGCUGAUAGGGAGGUGAUGAGUUAGUGGUGGUUUGGUAUCUCUUAAUGAGAAAAGAACAAGACGGUUCCACAAAUCUUAGCACUUUUGCCUCACAUCAAGAAGGGCCAGCUUCAAAUCCUAGCUGGGACCUUUAUAUUUGAAGUGUGCAUGUUCUCCUGGUUCAUAAAUGGGUUUUCUGUGGUUCCCUCCCACAGUGUCCCUUUAACGGACUGCUGACCCAACCAGGUUGCACCCCACCAUCACCCAACAGUUCCAAGGAUAGGCCCCAGCAACCCCAUAACCCCAAAAGGGAUCAAGCAGGUGAGCUGAGUCAGCAACAACGAUGUUUAAAGACGUCACCCGUAUUGACGUCACUGGGCCUCAUUCUGAAGCCAAGCCUGACGUUGGGACAUCACAGGACUAACCACCUACCCUGGCAAGGUCCAGCCCUAAGGGAUGAUGUGGGCCCACCCCCUGCAGGAGAGCUCAAAAGGUGCAUUGUGGUCUGGGUAGUGCCCAGAUGGUCCAACCCUCACCAGAAAACUACCGGGAGAGAAUUUCAUAUUUCUACCUCAAACUGAAAUUUGGCCAUUUUCCAUAGCAACAAAUGUUUAGGCUAGACACAUACAAGAAAUAGUGAUUCCUGGUUUUGCCUUUUUGUGGACAUAUAUGUGAGAAAAGCUGUGCAACAAUUUGACUGUGAAAAAAGACAAAAACAAGGAGUAAAAGACCAGCCCACAACAGCUUCUAACGCAUCAGUCACAUCUGCCCCUUAUGGAUGGGGGUGCAGGUGAAAGAUAGGAAAGCUGUAUGGGGCAUGCUGGUGGUCCGCACAACAUUUUAAGGUCGUAAACCGUAACAUUGAACCUGUAGAGUGUAAAUGUUCACACACAUUUUUUCCUAUGGGCAUGCUGCGGGCAACAGGUUGUAGUGAACAUUUCGCCAUUGUAAAAACCAAUUGGAGUUGGUUAUUAUAAAGAUGUGAUGUUUACAACACGGUGAAAACAGCGAGUACAGGGGGAAAUAGGUUUUAUUUUGAAAAAUUUAUCAAAUGCACUUUACAUUCGCUAGCAUGAUUCUCGGUUUAGGUCGUUAAUUCUCCCAACUUCACAAAAAAGUGCUCCGACUCGGCUCUGGCGUUCAGCAAAAGUUUGAAGCCAACGAAACGGACAUGGAGCGCCGGAGAGGCCAGACCGGACUGGAUGUAGUGUGAACACGGGGUAGAAUGUAGGGUAGGGAUAAGGAGAGUCAACUCCAGGUCCUGUUCCGAAACCCAAACCUGAUACAGGUACCCUAACCCAACACUGGACCAGAGGCAGUACCGGACCCGAACCGGCACCAGACGCGGUACCGGGCGCUUCCCGGACCCAAACCAGUACCCUAACCUUAACCAGGUACUGGCACCCUAACCAAAAACCGGACCAGCUGCGGUACCGGACCCAAACCGGUACCAGACCUGAACCAGUACCGGGUUAAGGUUAGGGUAUCGGUACUGGGUGUGUCCUGAGGACCAGUGCGCAUCCAGUACUGCAUCUGGUACCGCGUCCCAAGGAUUGAGGACCCUUGAACAGCCAGCAGGUCAAAAAACGAUGAGUUGGGGACACCCAAAACAUCAAAAAGUGACGUGGGCCUUUACCAAAUGUCGAGACGCGAUGAUUCGUGGAUGAGAAUGUGUUGGAAAAAGCCGCAGCACCUGUUCGGGUUAACCUCCUGCACGGGUGUGUGAGACUAAGGCAUCAACAAACGACUUCUCUAUCAAACAGACUUGAGGAUGCUCCGUUUUUUUGUGACUUUUGGUCAGAAAACUCGAGAUUAUCUGUGGAUCAAUCAGUAAAUUAGCACAGAUUGGGCCCUCAUGCUCACAAACACCAAAUCUGCUGCACCUUCAAGGGUUGAACUGUUUGCAUCAACAAGGAGAACAUGAUGAGGAUGACGGGGGGGGGGGGUUAUUCAACACCCCCCUUCUGUCAUCGGGACUGACAUUUCAGUGCUGACCUGAUCUCUGCCUUCCUGUAACAUGCUGAAAUUUCGCCGGCUGGUGCGACCCACUUACCCCCCCCCAUUCUCCAGACUUGCUCUGAGCUCUCAGCUGCUUUGUUCCAGCUGAUGUCAUCUAAACCUCAUCCCUGCAGAGUUGUCUGGGGUAGAUAAGACCCCCCCAACAUCCACCCUCCCUCCAUGUGCUGGUGUCCUGCAGAAAAAAAAAAAAACUGGGGCUGCUGCUGCUAUGAAGAUGGAUUACCCAGCUGGUGACACGGGCUCCCUGUCUGCUGAAGCAACUGUGGAGCGCUAACGCAAUUAAAGCAAUUAAUCUUCAGUAAAAGGGGGGUGGGGGUUGGGGGGGGGGUUCACAGCUACCUCUAAUGAUGGCGCACCUUUCUGCACAGGUGCACAUCCGAACAGGCUUCCUCACACAUGCAAAACACAACCACCCCGCCGCAUGCACACAACAAAAAAACUCUGGUGUGACAUGCGGGGAAUCAAACACUUCAACCACAGCGCCAGUGGCCUACUUUAGAGAAAAACACAAAAAGAAAGAUGGAGAGGGAGGAAACAAGAAAUCCAAGACAGCUAUGGUGAGGACUUUUAGGUAAAAAAAAGAAUUCAGAGAAGGAAAUCUGAAACGUUUUGGGGAUAAAUAUGUACAAAUCUGCUUCAUUUAGUAGUUAAAAUGCAAACUUUGGCAAAAAAAAAUAAAUAAGAAAAGGAGGUAAUGAAUGACUAAUAAACGCACCAUGUAGAUGAAUUUUAGGAGGAAAUGGAAAACUUUGAGGGUUAAUGUGCAUGAAUCUGUUUUCCUUAUUCUCAAAAAUGUAAACUUAAGCACACAAAGAGAAGAUGAAUAAAAGAAGUAAACAACAACAUCCAUGGACUUCCAGGAGAAAACAACAUUUUUGAGGUGCAAACUUUAGCAAGGAAAAAAACUGAUGGAGAAAAGGAGAAUGCAGUCAAACAAAGACAGCCGUGGAGAGGACUUUUAGGACAAAGGCGCAAAUCAGCUUCUCUAAGUCGUCAAGAAUGUGAACUUCAGCAAAACAAAAAAAAAAGAUGGAGAAAAGGAGGAAAUGAAUAACUAAAGACAGCUGUGGAGAGGACUUUAGGACAAAACGGAAAACUUUCAUAGUUAAUAUGCGUGAAUCUGUUUUUUAUAUUUGUCAAAACUGUAAAAAAAGAAAAGAUGGAGGAAAGAAGGAUACAAUUCAUAAAAACGCAGCCGUGGACCUCUAGGAAAAACAAUGUUUUUACAGUAAUUAUGUGUGAAUCUGUUUUUAUACUCAUCAAAAGUGUGAACUUUAGCAAAAAAGAGAUGGAAAAAAGGAGGAAAGAAAAAACUAAAUUCAUCUGUGAAAUCUGAAAAAUCAGGAAAAUUUUGAUGACAAAAAUGUGCAAAUUAUUAUUUUUUUACUUUACAAAAAUGCAAUUUUUAGUAAGAGAUAAAAAAGAUGGAGAAAAGGAGGACAGAAUAAACCAAAGACAGUCCACGGGAUUUUUAGGAGAAAAACUGAAAACUUUAAAGCUAUAUAUGCCUGAAUCUUUUCUUUUUUACUUGACAAAAAUGCAAACUUUAGCAAAAAAA